rnacentral:rRNA from 1 species
ACUUAAAUUGAAGAGUUUGAUCAUGGCUCAGAUUGAACGCUGGCGGCAGGCCUAACACAUGCAAGUCGAGCGGUAGCACAGAGAGCUUGCUCUCGGGUGACGAGCGGCGGACGGGUGAGUAAUGUCUGGGAAACUGCCUGAUGGAGGGGGAUAACUACUGGAAACGGUAGCUAAUACCGCAUAAUGUCGCAAGACCAAAGUGGGGGACCUUCGGGCCUCAUGCCAUCAGAUGUGCCCAGAUGGGAUUAGCUAGUAGGUGGGGUAACGGCUCACCUAGGCGACGAUCCCUAGCUGGUCUGAGAGGAUGACCAGCCACACUGGAACUGAGACACGGUCCAGACUCCUACGGGAGGCAGCAGUGGGGAAUAUUGCACAAUGGGCGCAAGCCUGAUGCAGCCAUGCCGCGUGUGUGAAGAAGGCCUUCGGGUUGUAAAGCACUUUCAGCGGGGAGGAAGGCGCUAAGGUUAAUAACCUUGGCGAUUGACGUUACCCGCAGAAGAAGCACCGGCUAACUCCGUGCCAGCAGCCGCGGUAAUACGGAGGGUGCAAGCGUUAAUCGGAAUUACUGGGCGUAAAGCGCACGCAGGCGGUCUGUCAAGUCGGAUGUGAAAUCCCCGGGCUCAACCUGGGAACUGCAUUCGAAACUGGCAGGCUAGAGUCUUGUAGAGGGGGGUAGAAUUCCAGGUGUAGCGGUGAAAUGCGUAGAGAUCUGGAGGAAUACCGGUGGCGAAGGCGGCCCCCUGGACAAAGACUGACGCUCAGGUGCGAAAGCGUGGGGAGCAAACAGGAUUAGAUACCCUGGUAGUCCACGCCGUAAACGAUGUCGAUUUGGAGGUUGUGCCCUUGAGGCGUGGCUUCCGGAGCUAACGCGUUAAAUCGACCGCCUGGGGAGUACGGCCGCAAGGUUAAAACUCAAAUGAAUUGACGGGGGCCCGCACAAGCGGUGGAGCAUGUGGUUUAAUUCGAUGCAACGCGAAGAACCUUACCUGGUCUUGACAUCCACAGAACUUUCCAGAGAUGGAUUGGUGCCUUCGGGAACUGUGAGACAGGUGCUGCAUGGCUGUCGUCAGCUCGUGUUGUGAAAUGUUGGGUUAAGUCCCGCAACGAGCGCAACCCUUAUCCUUUGUUGCCAGCGGUCCGGCCGGGAACUCAAAGGAGACUGCCAGUGAUAAACUGGAGGAAGGUGGGGAUGACGUCAAGUCAUCAUGGCCCUUACGACCAGGGCUACACACGUGCUACAAUGGCAUAUACAAAGAGAAGCGACCUCGCGAGAGCAAGCGGACCUCAUAAAGUAUGUCGUAGUCCGGAUUGGAGUCUGCAACUCGACUCCAUGAAGUCGGAAUCGCUAGUAAUCGUAGAUCAGAAUGCUACGGUGAAUACGUUCCCGGGCCUUGUACACACCGCCCGUCACACCAUGGGAGUGGGUUGCAAAAGAAGUAGGUAGCUUAACCUUCGGGAGGGCGCUUACCACUUUGUGAUUCAUGACUGGGGUGAAGUCGUAACAAGGUAACCGUAGGGGAACCUGCGGUUGGAUCACCUCCUUACCUUAAAGAA